GAUUAGCCUUUGGCUUGACAGUUUUAUCAAACAGCUAAUAAUGUGUUGCUAAUAUUACACAAACCAUGUUUCCGACAUCUCAGAGUCAGACAGCUGACGGCUUGACGGGAUUGAUUACUUGUUUGUGACGAUAAAUACCUACAAAGACGAAAGGAAAAGUGCCAUCUAGAACAACAGGCCAGACAGUUCAGAAGAAAUGGGUUGCGUUCAACCUACAUGUUGCCACUCUUCUGUGCAAAGUGAUGGAUUUUCAGUGGAAUUUCUGAAAUCCUCUCUUUGAAUCCUGGGAUGGAACAUCAUCUGGAGCAGAAUUCUUCUUUUUGAUCGCAAGUUUGUUGGACUUGUUGUUCGGCCAUGUUGGUCUGUUCAUGAAGUGAUGAAAGUGAUCUGGGUUUUAAGAAAUGUUUUUAUAUGACCCUGUUGGUCAAGUUAUAGUUAUAAUUGUAUUUCUUUGUGUGAAGGGCCAUGAUGGCCAAUAAGUAAUUUAAAAACAUUUUCAUGA